GCCACCACCAUGUAAGAAGUGCCUUUCACCUCCUGCCGUGAUUCUGAGGCCUUCCCAGCCAUGUGGAACUGUUGCUGUUAAGUGCCAUUGAUAUGCUGAAUGAAGAAAAUGACAGAUUGAAGCUAACCAGCCACAAACUCAGGAAAGAUGUGACAGCCAGAAUGCCACUACGACAGGAUUUUUUUUUUUAGAUGGGCUCUCACUAUGUUGUCCAGGCUGGUGUUUAAUUCCUGGGCUCAAGUGAUCCUCCUGCCUCAGCCUCUGAAGCAGCUGGGACUACAGCCAUUUAGAGAAGCAAGUCUGCGACUCUCUAGCAAUCCUGGAUUUUAUGGAAAUUAUCUCUCCCAUCUCAGAGGGUUUCAAGGCCCAUAAACCUGCUCCUCCCACAGCUUGCUGUCUGCAGUUCGGGGGCGGAUGAACCACUCUGUGUCCCAGCCCACUCUCCGCUGUUGAGGAUCAGCGUCCCGGGAUCUUUGGUCUGCGCUCUCCUGCUAAGCCCAGGACGUUUCCUUCCCUUUUUCCCUGUGCCCCUGUUCCUUGGCCACAGGGUGGAGGUGAGCUCACGCCCCUGCCCCUCCGUUCCCUUCACCUCCAUUCUGGCAUGUUGCCCCCACUGUUCUCAGACUGGGGUGCUCGAGCAAUCUGCCCUCCUGUGUUUUGGGGGCUGUCCAGCUGUAACCCCUUCCCUGGGUUGGGCUGCUUUACACUUGGGCUCCCACCAGGGUCCAGGAAGGGGUGGGGGCUUGGGGGUGGAGACUAUGGACCCCACCUCCUCCUGGGAAUGGGCACCUGGAUGGCUGCUUUAUGGCCAUGUGAAAGCAGAGCAGGCAUCACUCAUUCCAUCCUCAUUCAUUCCUUCACUCACAACAAGUGCUGCAGAUACCCAAGAUGACUAAGAAAUGGCCCCUGCUUUCAAAAAGCUCAGUCUAGUCCCAUGAUGUCCUUAAUCACACCCCCUCAAAAAAGUCGUAUUAAGCAGUAGGUAAGGGGAAGUGACCUCUAAGAAGGAUCUAACAGUGGAAAUUACCUAUCUUAACGACACAGGUAAAUUCAACUUUGUAAAAGAGUUUAUGGAGUGAGAAAAAGCAUCAGAAUCAAGUAAGUUUGAGGGAUGAAGCCAAGUGUGCUUUUAGAAAAGUCUAUUCACAUUGCAAAGGUUUCUCUCCUUUCGACAGUGGCUCAUGCCUAUAAUCCCAGCACUUUGGGAGGCCAAGGUGGGAGGAUCACUUGAGUUCAAGAGUUCAAGACCAGCCUGGGCAACAUAGGGAGAACCUGUCUCCAUAAAAAGGUUUAAAAAUCAGCCAGGUGUGGUGGCAUGUGCUUGCAGUCCUAUUAGGGAGGCUGAGGUGAGAGAAUCACUUGAGCCCAGGAGUUCAAGGUUGCAGUGAGCUAUGAUGGUGUCACUGCACUCCAG
rnacentral:lncRNA from 1 species